UACGUAGGGUGCGAGCGUUGUCCGGAAUUAUUGGGCGUAAAGGGCUCGUAGGCGGUUUGUCGCGUCGGGAGUGAAAUCCACUGGCUUAACUGGUGGCUUGCUUUCGAUACGGGCAGACUGGAGGUAUGCAGGGGAGAACGGAAUUCCUGGUGUAGCGGUGAAAUGCGCAGAUAUCAGGAGGAACACCGGUGGCGAAGGCGGCAUCCUGGACCAAUUCUGACGCUGAUGAGCGAAAGCCAGGGGAGCAAACGGG
rnacentral:rRNA from 1 species